rnacentral:rRNA from 1 species
UACGUAGGGGGCUAGCGUUGUCCGGAAUCACUGGGCGUAAAGCGCGUGUAGGCGGUCCGGUAAGUCCGCUGUGAAAGUCGGGGGCUCAACCCUCGAAUGCCGGUGGAUACUGUCGGGCUAGAGUACGGAAGAGGCGAGUGGAAUUCCUGGUGUAGCGGUGAAAUGCGCAGAUAUCAGGAGGAACACCAAUUGCGAAGGCAGCUCGCUGGGACGUUACUGACGCUGAGACGCGAAAGCGUGGGGAGCAAACAGG